UACGGAGGGGGCAAGCGUUGUUCGGAGUCACUGGGCGUAAAGGGCGCGUAGGCGGUGCGUAAAGUCAGGCGUGAAAGCCCCGGGCUUAACCUGGGAAUUGCGCUUGAUACUGACGCGCUGGAGAACGGGAGAGGAUGGCGGAAUUCCCAGUGUAGAGGUGAAAUUCGUAGAUAUUGGGAAGAACACCGGUGGCGAAGGCGGCCAUCUGGACCGUUUCUGACGCUGAGGCGCGAAAGCGUGGGGAGCAAACAGG
rnacentral:rRNA from 1 species